CGUGCACCAGCGGGGUCCCUCGGCCUGGCCUGCACCCUCUCACAAUCUGCAGGCCAGGCCGAGGGACUCCACUGGUACACG
rfam:Myotis lucifugus cont2.26203, whole genome shotgun sequence.